rnacentral:rRNA from 1 species
AUGUUGUAUUUAGCUAGCAGUAGAAAUCCCCUUGUCGUUCCUGAAACUUUUGGUGAUUCUGAACAUCCUGCAACAUCUUGUGUGGUGGCAGAAGUUGGAGCAAAAAGAGAUGAAGGGGCCGCAACAGCGAAGAUGAGGAUGCGGCAGUUUGACAAUGCGCCGGCGGCGAGGCGUACUAGCGAGGGGAGGGGAGACCGAGACGGCUCAGUAGCGGCCGCAGGAGCCAAGGCGGUUCUUGCGAAGAGUACCCGGAGUGCGCAGCGUGCUACUUCAAUCUCUAGGUUUCACGGAUCAUCAGCAAGACUUUUCAGACGACGAGUAAGAAGCCUUAGGUCGUGGUCUUAUACUCAGUGUUGCCGUUGGAGUUGA